UUACAAUGAAGAGUUUGAUCCUGGCUCAGGAUGAACGCUAGCUACAGGCUUAACACAUGCAAGUCGAGGGGCAGCAUUUUAGUUUGCUUGCAAACUAAAGAUGGCGACCGGCGCACGGGUGAGUAACACGUAUCCAACCUGCCGAUAACUCGGGGAUAGCCUUUCGAAAGAAAGAUUAAUAUCCGAUAGUAUAUUAAAACCGCAUGGUUUUACUAUUAAAGAAUUUCGGUUAUCGAUGGGGAUGCGUUCCAUUAGUUUGUUGGCGGGGUAACGGCCCACCAAGACUACGAUGGAUAGGGGUUCUGAGAGGAAGGUCCCCCA
rnacentral:rRNA from 1 species